rnacentral:sRNA from 2 species
GGCGGCGUGCUGCUCAGCCCCUUGUUGCUGUACGCGCUGCUGGCGUUGCUGCUGACUGGCGUGGUGCGCCUGGCCUUGCAGCGGGUGGGCGCGGCGCGCUGGAUCUGGCACGAGGCGCUGUUCGACUGCGCUCUG